rnacentral:rRNA from 1 species
AACGAACGCUGGCGGCAGGCUUAACACAUGCAAGUCGAGCGCCCCGCAAGGGGAGCGGCAGACGGGUGAGUAACGCGUGGGAAUCUACCCAUCACUACGGAACAACCGUCCGAAAGGAUGGCUAAUACCGCGUCCGGUCCCCGCAAGGGGAAGAAAGCCGUAAGGCGCCCUGGGAGGGGCCCGCGUCCGAUUAACUGGUUGGUGGGGUAACGGCCUACCAAGGCGACGAUCGGUAGCUGGUCUGAGAGGAUGAUCAGCCAGACUGGGACUGGGACACGGCCCAGACUCCUACGGGAGGCAGCAGUUAGGAAUUUUGGGCAAUGGGCGAAAGCCUGACCCAGCAACGCCGCGUGAAGGAUGAAGUAUUUCGGUAUGUAAACUUCGAAAGAAUGGGAAGAAUAAAUGACGGUACCAUUUAUAAGCUCCGGCUAACUACGUGCCAGCCGCCGCCGUAAUAC